UAAGAAUAGGGUUGCAAGUUCUUUUUUUUUCUCUUUAGAGACUUAGAGAGUUUUCUUUGAGUGAGGUUGCCAAGUUGAGCUGAUUUCUCCUUCUCUCUUGUGUGCUACUGCUUUAGAGGAAGUGAGGAAGUUUUGUUGCUGUUGGAGAGAUAGAUUUAAUAGGGUUUCGGUGGCCUAAACUCUGGAUUCAGCUAAAGUACCUUGUGGAUUGGGAAAGUUUCAACAAUUAGAGAAGGGUCCUCUUACUGUGAUUUCUUGGCCUACACCCAGGGGAAAGUUAAAGUGAUGCCUUGAGAAGUCUUGCAGUCCAUUUUAAGCUGGAUAUCUGAUUCUUGUAAACUGGUUUUGGGUAUACUUCCUCUAAUAGGAGCUGGAGCUCUAAAUGGAAAAGCAGCUAAGAUGGUUGUUUCCAGCUGAUUGUAGUAACUAGUAAGCGCUGAUUUGGAAGAACUCAAAUUGAGUGAAUAGAGGAUUGGGAUUGGGACCUAACUGAGCUAAAUUGAUCAUCACGUGGGGCCGAAUUGAGCUGAGUUCAAGAGGCCCAACUUGGACUAAAGUAGAGGUUUAGCUUCGCCUAAAUUUAGGAGGACUUGGAGGCUUUGGACUCCUUGCAAGCGCUAGUUCAACGAGUAUCGUCUAUUAGUAGAGCCAUCCACUACGGGAGAGGGUAGGGAUCGCGGCAAGGGAGUCGCGUCUAGCUAGACAUAGCGUGGAGUCCCGCUAGGUGAUCACCUCACUAUUCUGUGAUACUGACAAGAGUGAGGUGUACCAGUGUAUAGAGAGACUACCUUAGUAUAUAGCUCUUUUGAAGCGACUUGUGACGUAUAUGUGGGUUUAGAAUGUUGUAUUUACAGUUUUGGACUCCUGCCUCUGUUGAGUUUCUAGGAUUUAUACUAUUUCUUUUUCUAUUAGUUGUUGUACUAUUGGUUCAUACUU